rnacentral:tRNA from 1 species
CUGCGUGCGGUGACGAUGGCGUGUCACGACUGGCUGUAACCCAGUUGCUUCGGCUCAGUGGGUUCGAAUCCCUCCGCGCAGACCA